rnacentral:rRNA from 1 species
UACGGAGGGAGCUAGCGUUGUUCGGAAUUACUGGGCGUAAAGCGCACGUAGGCGGCUAUUCAAGUCGGGGGUGAAAGCCCGGGGCUCAACCCCGGAACUGCCCUCGAAACUAGAUAGCUAGAAUCUUGGAGAGGCGAGUGGAAUUCCGAGUGUAGAGGUGAAAUUCGUAGAUAUUCGGAAGAACACCAGUGGCGAAGGCGACUCGCUGGGCAAGUAUUGACGCUGAGGUGCGAAAGCGUGGGGAGCAAACAGG